AAUGAACGCUGGCGGCAGGCCUAAAACAUGCAAGUCGAACGCCCUAGCAAUAGGGAGUGGCGCACGGGGGAGUAACAUGUGGGAACAUGCCUUUUGGUACGGAACAACGUUUGGAAACGAACGCUAAUACCGUAUGGUCCCUCCGGGGUAAAGAUUUAUCGCCAAAAGAUUAGCCUGCACCAGGUCCGCAAGUUGGUGAGGUAAAGGCUUACCAAGGGGACGAUCUAUAGCUGUUCUGAGAGGAAGAUCAGCCACACUGGGACUGAGACGAGGCCCAGACUCCUACGGGAGGCAGCAGUUAGGAAUAUAGGACAAUGGGGGGAAGCCUGAUCCAGCCAUGCCUCGUUAGUGAUGAAGGCCUUCAGGUUGUAAAGCUCUUUAGUCCACGAAUAUAAUGACUGUAGUGGAAGAAUAAGCACCGGCUAACUUCGUGCCAGCCGCCGCAGUAAUAC
rnacentral:rRNA from 1 species